AGAGUUUGAUCAUGGCUCAGGACGAACGCUGGCGGCGCGCUUAACACAUGCAAGUCGAGCGAGAACCGGGCCUUCGGGCCCGGGGAAAGCGGCGAACGGGUGAGUAACACGUGGGUAACCCACCCUUGGUACCGGGAUAGCCCGGGGAAACCCGGAUUAAUACCGGAUGGCCCAACAGCUCUUCGGGGCGGUUGGAAAAGGUAGCUUCGGCCUCCGACCAAGGACGGGCCCGCGGCGGAUUAGCUUGUUGGUGGGGUAACGGCCCACCAAGGCGACGAUCCGUAGCUGGUCUGAGAGGACGAUCAGCCACACUGGGACUGAGACACGGCCCAGACUCCUACGGGAGGCAGCAGUGGGGAAUCUUGCGCAAUGGGCGAAAGCCUGACGCAGCGACGCCGCGUGGGGGAAGAAGGCUUUCGGGUUGUAAACCCCUUUCAGGAGGGACGAAGCCACUCGGGUUAAUAGCCCAGAGGGUGACGGUACCUCCAGAAGAAGCCCCGGCUAACUACGUGCCAGCCGCCGCGGUAAUAC
rnacentral:rRNA from 1 species